GACCGCGUAGCUCAGUUGGCAGAGCAUUGGGCUAGUAUUCCAAAGGUCGUAGGUUCGAUUCCCACCGUGGC